rnacentral:tRNA from 1 species
UUUAAUAUGGCAGAAAAAUGCAUUAGACUUAAAAUCUAAUUAUAAAAAUUUUUAAUUUUUUAUUAAUA